AAAGGUAGGUCUUCAUAUAUUAGAUCAGUUGAUGAGGAGAUUUAGGUCAAGAGUGAUCAUGAUUCUUAAUAGCACCCUGGGCAGAGCUAGCCAUUUUGGGAGAAGAGCCAAAGGUUUUUACAAUGUUGACGAUGAAUACUGGAACAUUUAGGGGGGUUGGGAAUGAUUCCUAGUACUUUAGCUAGAAAAAGGGAGGCAGCAGUUGCUAUGGUGUAAUUUUGUUUCUUUCUUUCUUUCUUGCAAUUUCAAAACAUGCAUAGUCUUAAUUCUUUUUUCAUUUUUUUUUGAAGAACAUAUGUUACUUUCUCUCUCUGAAGAAAUGAACAGUUUUGGCAGGCUGUUUCUGCUCCUCUAUUCUGAGAUGUAAUAAAGUGAAAUAUACUUCUUAAAAUUUCGUGUAACAUCUAAAUUAUGGAUAUUUAUUCAGCAUCUUUUAAUUUUUUUGUUUUUUUCUAAUUUCAGUUCUCCAACAUCUUCUGGACCUUACAGACGAGCCAUUUGGUCAGAAGGUAACUGUGGACCCUGACAACUCAAAUUGCAGUGAAGAAAGUGCUAGGUAAGUUGAUCUCUCAGUUUGAGGAAGCCCCUAGGGCU
rnacentral:lncRNA from 1 species